rnacentral:rRNA from 1 species
UACGUAGGGUCCGAGCGUUAAUCGGAAUUACUGGGCGUAAAGCGUGCGCAGGCGGUUUUGUAAGCCAGAUGUGAAAGCCCCGGGCUCAACCUGGGAAUGGCAUUUGGGACUGCAAGGCUGGAGUGUGGCAGAGGAGACUGGAAUUCCUGGUGUAGCAGUGAAAUGCGUAGAUAUCAGGAGGAAUACCGAUGGCGAAGGCAGGUCUCUGGGCUGACACUGACGCUCAUGCCCGAAAGCGUGGGGAGCAAACAGG